GCUUCUCUGAUGUUAGCGGCGGACGGGUGAGUAACAUGACUGUGUAACCACCUAUAAGACUGGGAUAACUCCGGGAAACCGGGGCUAAUACCGGAUAAUAUUUUGAACCGCAUGGUUCAAUAGUGAAAGACGGUUUCGGCUGUCACUUAUAGAUGGACCCGCGCCGUAUUCGCUAGUUGGUAAGGUAACGGCUUACCAAGGCGACGAUACGUAGCCGACCUGAGAGGGUGAUCGGCCACACUGGAACUGAGACACGGUCCAAACUCCUACGGGAGGCAGCAGUAGGGAACUCUUCCGCAAUGGGCGAAAGCCUGACCGGAGCAACGCCGCGUGAGUGAUGAAGUUUUUCGGAUCGUAAAACUCUGUGGUCAGGGAAGAACAAAUUUGUUAGUAACUGAACAAGUCUUGACGGUACCUAACCAGAAAGCCACGGAACUACGUGCCAGCAGCCGCGGUAAUACGUAGGUGGCAAGCGUUAUCCGGGAAUUAUUGGGCGUAAA
rnacentral:rRNA from 2 species